GGCUCAGAUUGAACGCUGGCGGCAGGCUUAACACAUGCAAGUCGAGCGGGCGAGGUUGCUUCGGUAACUGAGCUAGCGGCGGACGGGUGAGUAAUGCUUAGGAAUCUGCCUAUUAGUGGGGGACAACAUUCCGAAAGGGAUGCUAAUACCGCAUACGUCCUACGGGAGAAAGCAGGGGCUCUUUAUGACCUUGCGCUAAUAGAUGAGCCUAAGUCGGAUUAGCUAGUUGGUGGGGUAAAGGCCUACCAAGGCGACGAUCUGUAGCGGGUCUGAGAGGAUGAUCCGCCACACUGGGACUGAGACACGGCCCAGACUCCUACGGGAGGCAGCAGUGGGGAAUAUUGGACAAUGGGGGGGAACCCUGAUCCAGCCAUGCCGCGUGUGUGAAGAAGGCCUUUUGGUUGUAAAGCACUUUAAGCGAGGAGGAGGCUUACCUAGUUAAUACCUGGGAUAAGUGGACGUUACUCGCAGAAUAAGCACCGGCUAACUCCUGUGCCAGCAGCCGCGGUAAUACAG
rnacentral:rRNA from 1 species